rnacentral:tRNA from 1 species
GUCUGAAUAGCUUAGUUGGUUAAAAGCAGUCGCCCGGCAAGCGAAAGACGCAGGUUC